UACGUAGGCAGCGAGCGUUGUUCGGAAUUACUGGCGUAAAGAGUGUGUAGGCGGUGCUCUAAGUUCGGUGUGAAAUCUCCUGGCUUAACUGGGAGGGUGCCCCGGAAACUGGGGUGCUCGAGCGUGGGAGAGGAAAGCGGAAUUCCUGGUGUAGUGGUGAAAUGCGUAGAUAUCAGGAGGAACACCUGUGGUGUAGACAGCUUUCUGGACCAUUGCUGACGCUGAGACACGAAAGCGUGGGUAGCAAACAGG
rnacentral:rRNA from 1 species